CGGAGAGCCCCGGACGGCGGGACCCGGCUCGGGCGCAGGGGCGUCGUCGCCCACGAGCCUGUCGAAGAAGUCGGCGUCGGUGAGGUCGUCGGCCAUCUCCCGCCCAGCGGGUGUCGGCGCGAGAUCUCGCGUCUGUGGGGGCGCGCGGAUCUACCUAGGGCCCGCCCCGCCCCGCCGCCCCGAGAUCCGCUCGCUCGCCCGCUCGCCCGUCCCCGGCGCGACAAGACAAGGACGGUGGGCGGUUGCGGUGGCUGGCUGGCUGGCUGGCUCGGGAGGGCGACAGCCGACGUCGCGUGCGUCAUGGGCUGCUCAUGGCGCCACCGGUUUGCAUUUGCAUUGCAUUUUUCUUUUUCUCUCCCUGUCUGCGUGUGGUGUGGUGGCACCGAUCGAGCUUUCGUUUCCUCUUGUUUUGUUCCACCUUUUUCUUUCCCCGGCUGAUUUUAAUCUCUUUCCCCGGCGGUGGAGCAGUGAGUGAAGCAGACAAGAUUCUCCUCCCCUGACCCCAUCCACCGGAGAUGCCCACUUAUAAUUAUUCAUACACAAAUUGCAGUAUAUGCAUCCAGGUUAAUUAGAGGGUGCUUGGAUACGUUUUAGUCCCAUGACUAAAAGUAGUGAGACUAUAACUUGCUAGCCUCACCCAUGCUUGGAUCCAAGUACUAAAGAGACUAAAAUCAAGUUAAUGAGCAUUUAUUAUCCUCCAAACCCUCCAAUCCAGAACUUGCAUGAGGAGUUAAAUGAGGAGAGAGAGGACUAAUGCACAUUUUAGUAGGGGUACUGUUGGAAAUAUGCCCUAGAGGCAAUAAUAAAUUAGUUAUUAUUAUAUUUCUUAGUUCAUGAUAAUCGUUUAUUAUCCAUGCUAUAAUUGUAUUGAUUGGAAACACAAUACUUGUGUGGAUACAUAGACAAAACAUUGUCCCUAGUAAGCCUCUAGUUGACUAGCUCGUUGAUCAAAGAUGGUCAAGGUUUCCUGGCCAUAGGCAAGUGUUGUCACUUGAUAACGGGAUCACAUCAUUAGGAGAAUCAUGUGAUGGACUAGACCCAAACUAAUAGACGUAGCAUGUUGAUCGUGUCAUUUUGUUGCUACUGUUUUCUGCGUGUCAAGUAUUUGUUCCUAUGACCAUGAGAUCAUAUAACUCACGGACACCGGAGGAAUGCUUUGUGUGUAUCAAACGUCGCAAUGUAACUGGGUGACUAUAAAGAUGCUCUACAGGUAUCUCCGAAGGUGUUCGUUGACUUAGUAUGGAUCAAGACUGGGAUUUGUCACUCCGUGUGACGGAGAGGUAUCUCGGGGCCCACUCGGUAAUACAACAUCACACACAAGCCUUGCAAGCAAUGUGACUUAGUGUAAGUUGCGGGAUCUUGUAUUACGGAACGAGUAAAGAGACUUGCCGGUAAACGAGAUUGAAAUAGGUAUGCGGAUACUGACGAUCGAAUCUCGGGCAAGUAACAUACCGAAGGACAAAGGGAAUGACAUACGGGAUUAUAUGAAUCCUUGGCACUGAGAUUCAAACGAUCAGAUCUUCGUAGAAUAUGUGGGAUCCAAUAUGGGCAUCCAGGUCCCGCUAUUGGAUAUUGACCGAGGAGUCACUCGGGUCAUGUCUACAUAGUUCUCGAACCCGCAGGGUCUGCACACUUAAGGUUCGACGUUGUUUUAUGCGUAUUUGAGUUAUAUGGUUGGUUACCGAAUGUUGUUCGGAGUCCCGGAUGAGAUCCAGGAUGUCACGAGGAGCUUCGGAAUGGUCCGGAGGUAAAGAUUGAUAUAUAGGAAGUCCUGUUUUGGUCACCGGAAAAGUUUCGGGCUCAUCGGUAGUGUACCGGGAGUGCCGGGAGGGGUGCCGGGGACCAUCGGGAGGGGUGUCACGCCCCAAGGGGUCUCAUGGGCUAUUGGAAGAGAUAAACCAGCCCCUAGUGGGCUGGAAUAAGUUCCCACUAAGUCCCAUAAGGUUUGAGAAGGAAAAAACACAAGGUGGAAAGAGUUUCCAAGUGGGAAGGUGGAAUCCUACUCCAAGUAGGAUUGGAGUAGGACUCCUCCACCUCCAAUUUCGGCCAAACCUUGAGGGUUUGAGGCUGCCUCUUCCCUCCCCCUCCCUCCUAUAUAUACUGAGGUAUUAGGGCUGAUUUGAGACAACUUUUGCCACGGCAGCCCGACCACAUAUCUCCACGGUUUUACCUCUAGAUCGCGUUUCUGCGGAGCUCGGGCGGAGCCCUGCUGAGAUUAGAUCACCACCAACCUCCGGAGCGCCGUCACGCUGCCGGAGAACUCAUCUACUUCUCCGUCUCUCUUGCUGGAUCAAGAAGGCCGAGAUCAUCGUCGAGCUGUACGUGUGCUGAACGCGGAGGUGCCGUCCGUUCGGCACUAGAUCGUGGGACUGAUCGCGGGACGGUUCGCGGGGCGGAUCGAGGGACGUGAGGACGUUCCACUACAUCAACCGCGUUCACUAACGCUUCUGCUGUGCGAUCUACAAGGGUACGUAGAUCGGAAAUCCCCUCUCGUAGAUGGACAUCACCAUGAUAGGUCUUCGUGCGCGUAGGAAUUUUUUUGUUUCCCAUGCGACGUUCCCCAACACGAGAAUGGGCACAGUUUGGAAACAUAUUACGGGUACAUAGAGGAGAUAUGAGAACUUGACUAUGGACCUACUUUUAAGAUCCCUUUAUUUCAGUGCAAAUGGGUGAAGCUAACAGGAGGCGGGGUAGUUGUAGACCAAAAGUACGGCAUGACAACAGUGGAUCUCAACAAUCUUGCGUACAUGGACGAACCAUUUGUCCUAGCCAAUGAUGU
rnacentral:lncRNA from 1 species